GAGGUGCGAAAGCGUGGGGAGCAAACAGGAUUAGAUACCCUGGUAGUCCACGCUGUAAACGAUGUCUACUAGCCGUCGGGGUCCUUAGUGACUUUGGUGGCGCAGCUAACGCGAUAAGUAGACCGCCUGGGGAGUACGGCCGCAAGGUUAAAACUCAAAUGAAUUGACGGGGGCCCGCACAAGCGGUGGAGCAUGUGGUUUAAUUCGAUGCAACGCGAAGAACCUUACCAGGUCUUGACAUCCUCGGAACUUGGCAGAGAUGCCUUGGUGCCUUCGGGAGCCGAGUGACAGGUGCUGCAUGGCCGUCGUCAGCUCGUGUCGUGAGAUGUUGGGUUAAGUCCCGUAACGAGCGCAACCCUUGUCCUUAGUUGCCAGCACGUCAUGGUGGGAACUCUAGGGAGACUGCCGGUGACAAACCGGAGGAAGGUGGGGACGACGUCAGGUCAUCAUGGCCCUUACGACCUGGGCUACACACGUGCUACAAUGGCUGGUACAGAGGGUUGCUAAGUCGCGAGGCGGAGCUAAUCCCUUAAAGCCAGUCGUAGUCCGGAUCGGAGUCUGCAACUCGACUCCGUGAAGUCGGAAUCGCUAGUAAUCGCGGAUCAGAAUGCCGCGGUGAAUACGUUCCCGGGCCUUGUACACACCGCCC
rnacentral:rRNA from 1 species